rnacentral:rRNA from 1 species
AGUGAACGCUGGCGGUAGGCCUAACACAUGCAAGUCGAACGGCAGCACAGUAAGAGCUUGCUCUUACGGGUGGCGAGUGGCGGACGGGUGAGGAAUACAUCGGAAUCUACUUUUUCGUGGGGAAUAACGUAGGGAAACUUACGCUAAUACCGCAUACGACCUACGGGUGAAAGCAGGGGAUCUUCGGACCUUGCGCGAUUGAAUGAGCCGAUGUCGGAUUAGCUAGUUGGCGGGGUAAAGGCCCACCAAGGCGACGAUCCGUAGCUGGUCUGAGAGGAUGAUCAGCCACACUGGAACUGAGACAAGGUCCAGACUCCUACGGGAGGCAGCAGUGGGGAAUAUUGGACAAUGGGCGCAAGCCUGAUCCAGCCAUACCGCGUGGGUGAAGAAGGCCUUCGGGUUGUAAAGCCCUUUUGUUGGGAAAGAAAAGCAGCAGGUUAAUACCCCGCUGUUCUGACGGUACCCAAAGAAUAAGCACCGGCUAACUUCGUG